AUUUUUUUCAUGCGUUUUUGAGACUUGUUGCUACUGUUCAUGCACUGUUCAAUGAACAGUAACCGCAAAGUUUGACUUUUCUAACUUUUUUUAGCCAAUCAGUGCACAUCGUGUAUUGUUUACAGAUCCACAAAUUUCACUUUUCAACAACUUUUUCAUUAAAAAUGGGUCCCACGGUACUAUUCACACAUUUAAAAAUUAUUUUGUUACAGUAUUUUUCAGUUUUCAGUUUCAGUUUUAUCCUAUGCGGUUGCGUUUGGUUGAAAUAUGGUGGGUCCCGUAUACUAUUCACGAGAUCCGCAAGUACAUUUUUCACCAAAAAUAACUUCAAAAAUGAGUUCCACGGUACUAUUCACACAUUUAAAAAUUAUUUUGCUACAUUUAAAAAUGGUGUGCAUUCGGCUUCAAAUUAAAAAGUCAGCUUAUUUUAUUAUUCAACUUAUUUUUGCUACUAUUUAUGAGCCCCAUUACAUUUUUUGUUAUUAUUCAUAGGUCUCACUUUACUAUUUCAACUAACUUUUAUAUUUAUUUACAGUACUUUCAGUAAAAAGUUUUCAGUUCCAGCAAAAUAAACGGAUCUCAAACAGAUCCUUGGUGUGUGUUUGGCUCCAAAUUAAAAAGCCAGUUUAUUUUACUAUUCAGCUUAUUUUUGCUACUAUUUAUGGGCCCCACUACACUUUUUUCGUACUAUUUAUGAGUCCCACUAUAUUAUUUCAGCUAACUUUUACUUUUAUUUACAGUAAUUUCAGUAAAAAGUUUUUAAUUUCAGCAAAAUAAGCGAAUCACAAACAGGCUCAAGAGUCUGUUUUAUGGGUUUUGCAAGUUGGAAUUUUGUUGAUUUUUUUUUUUGGUUGUAAAUUUGUGUGUUAGUGUGUUCAAAUCGAAAGAAAAAUAGAAGGCCAAACCCACUUCAAUAAUGGCUGUGAUGUUUGUUUAUUAUAGUGGAUAUAUUAUUUUAUUGUAGUAGAUAUAUUAUUUUAUUAUGUUGAAAGUUAAAAUAAAACCACUGAUAUUAGGUGUUUUGUAAAGUGAGAAAGUAAAAUAGAUAAAGUAGCUUUUUAUGGUGCCAAAUAACUAAAUUUAUGGCUCCACCAAUGUGAACGCUCUUAAACAAAAUUUCAUUGUAGCUUAAUAUUUCACAAUUUCAUCUUUAAUAUCAUUUUUAUGCUUUGCUGGUGCAGAUUAUCUUUAGAGGGUGGUAUAGAAUUUUCUGGUAAUAAUGCUCUAAUUUAAAGAAUUUGAGAAUACUCCCACAAUUACUGGUUUUGUUCUUACACUGUCCUAGAAUUAUCACUUGAAUGACCAUACAUUUGAAAUAGUAUUUUGCUUAAUUCUAUAUGGUAAGCUGAGGCCAGUGAUGAUCUAAAACAAUUUUGCCUACAUCGGAUGAUUAUCUGUUAUAAGAUAAUGAUAUCUUUGGAAUAUUUGAGGCCUUUCUAUGAUGUUGUAUUUCUUCAAGUCAAUUGAAAAAGGAAAAAAAAAAAAAAAAAUUCGUGUUCUAGACUUUUAAGGGUUUGUUGUUUAUUAAUUGUUACCACUGUCUCAUGUUUUGUGGAAGUUGCUUUUAAAGUUUAUAAUGUCAUAUUUUCCUCUUGGCUCUUGGUACUAAACUCAGAAUGUAUUUUCAACAGAUAUUUUGGCCAUUUCUUUUUCAUUUUUAUAAAGUUAUUAGUUUUUUUUGCUUAUCCAAAAAAAUUGAUCACAAGCUUAUGAUGAGGAUAAUUUUUUACUGAUCGGUAUAGGGGUGCCAGAAAGGGAUGACCGACCCGUGGGCCAACGGCUUAAGCAAUCCCUUGAUCCUGACGACCCAUCCCCAUAAGGUUUCCAUGGGGUUUGCGUGGGGCCCACUCACACAUUCUUACGUGAAAAUUACUUGCACAUUCGACCAAAGGCCCUACCACACAAUCAGAUUUCUUAUAUAUGGAAAGGUGAUCCCAAGUGCUUUGGGACUAUUCUCUCUACAAGGAAAUUCCCUCGUAUCAAGGGAUUUAAGUCAACUCUCUACUACUAUAUAAACCACAAACCUUACCCUUCUUGAGGUACAUCCAUUGGCACGUGUGUGAACGAUCAACUCACUGACGAUUUUUGUGCAUCAUUAGCCUAUAAAGAAAAAGAUCGGAGUCGAUGGAAGGAGCAAAAGAAAAAGAAGACGAAGAGAAAGAAGAAGAAGAGUCGGCAUCGGAGGAGGCUCUGGAUCGCCUUGAUCUGGAGUUGAGCUUGGGCUUUACACCGUACGGUCACGGCAGGUUUAUAGGAUACGACACCGCCAAUACUUUGAUCAUACUCUCUCAAACAAAAAGUACUAUCUCUCUGUGUUCAGUUCAAUUUUGGUAGUGGAGUUCAGGAGUGUAGUGGAAUUUUUGAAACAGCGGCUGCCAUUUGUACUUCAACUUCAAAGUAUUCAACUUCUCACUUCUCACU